AUUGAACGCUGGCGGCAGGCCUAACACAUGCAAGUCGAGCGGAGCGGCGGACGGGGGAGUAAUGCCUAGGAAUCUGCCUGGUGGUGGCGGAUAACGUCCGGGAACGGGCGCUAUGACCGCAGACUUGCAGAUCAGUCUCGGUUGGAUUAGCUAGUUGGUGGGGUAAAGGCCUACCAAGGCGACGAUCCGUAACUGGUCUGAGAGGAUGAUCAGUCACACUGGAACUGAGACACGGCCCAGACUCCUACGGGAGGCAGCAGUGGGGAAUAUUGGACAAUGGGCGAAAGCCUGAGCCAGCAAUGCCGCGUGGGUGAAGAAGGUUUUCGGAUUGUAAAGCACUUUAAGUAGGGAGGCGUUACCAACCGAAUAAGCACCGGCUAACUUCGUGCCAGCCGCCGCGGUAAUUC
rnacentral:rRNA from 1 species